rnacentral:tRNA from 1 species
AUUGCGUUAGCAUCCGACACAAGAGCCACUGACUCUCAAUCCGUAGGUUCCGGGUUCGAGCCCCGGGCGCCCUACCA